AAUACUUUCAAUCCAUGUUGUUAAUAGGGUAUUUUAUUUCAUCUUCUGUUACUAUUGCUUAUUUUUUAUAUUUGCUUACUGACAGAACUUAAGGGGAAAAUAAUUCAAUAAUUCUAUGGGUUGAAAAUAUUGGCUUAGAAAGUACUGUGUACUACUGAAGUUUAAUAUCCCUGGUGCAUCUGUCGAAAAAAGGGGAAUUUGCUUGUAAAUACAAUUCUGUGUACAAUGAAUCAUUGUAAUUGCAUCAUCAAUGUCAGUGAUGAUGUCAUUACAAUAAUUUAUGUGUAUUAUAAUCCUGCUGAUAAUCAUUCUUUAUGCUUUUACAAGUUUUGCAUCAGAUAGACUCUGUUUUAUGUGGCUUGGAGACAGUUAUAUAUAUCACUUGUUUAUUUGUCAAAUAUUAAUUAUUCUGUGUAACUGAUCAUGCGGCCAAUAAAACAACAAACGC
rnacentral:misc_RNA from 1 species